GUCAGCGUCGCAGAAAUGAUGACGGAUGAUGAUGGCAGCAGCAGCCAAACUUUUCAGAGUUUUGACUUCAAAGUCAGCUGAGAAAUCUGCACUCUGCUUUGGUGAAGAAGAAGAAAACCUUUCAAAUGCAGCUCUUCUGCUCAGUCUGACGGUCUCACCUGCACUGAAAAAGCGAUGAUUGAGAUAGUAAUGGCCAGCGUUACUCCCAUAGCGAGGAUCACAGCAGUGGUGUUGUGAAAGGAGGCGAUGGUCCCCGUCAUGUAUGACAUGCUCACGGUGACAACAAACUGGAGAACAUAUCAAAUAAUGAAAACAGAAGAGAACAUUUACAAGAAGCAAGGCCAGGAAGAAAUUGUGUGAACGUGGUCUUCAGUCUCUUCCAGGAAUUGCUGGGUUGAGGUGACCUAGAUAAGAAAGCAUAACACCUGAGCAGUGCCACAAUGUUCCACGGGUGAUGCUGGCUGAAGGACUUGCAGCAAGUGAGGGCGAUGGUGACAACAACGAAGACGAUGAAGGAACUGAGAUAGACCCAAAUGUUUGAUUGCACUGCCUCUUUGACCACGCUGGAGAAGGUGAACACGCACACUACAGUGAAGGUCAAUUUCUGGAGAAGUUCAAACUUAGAGUUCAAUGGUGACGUCGAGCACAGAAGAGGAAAUGGCUGAGGGGCAUCAUGUGGUAGAGCUGAGAGCUUCAGAUCACAGACACCGAGGGGAUGUUGUGGUUUCAACUGUAAAAAGAACUAAGGAACAAAACAUGCUUUUAAAUGCAACAGUAACAUGUUGUGCCCUCCCUGAUUUUUAGAUUUAAUGCGGAAUAAAGUCAGAAAUUCGGAACUUGGAAAUGACCUCAUCACAAACUUAAAGCUCAGAUUUCAGAAAUGGGAACUGUGUGAUGUUUGUCUUCAUUGCACAAUGACCCAUACCAUUGUAUAAUGUUUGUGCUGUGCUGGGACUUGCAGGUACAUGCUCAUCAGCUGCAGGAGCUACACCUGAGCUAGAUUUUGAUACUUGCAUUAUUUCAAUUAACUGUAAUGUUGGUGGUCACAGGACACAAAAACUGCAUGUAUGGAAUCUCCAGGCAAAUCUGAUCAAAACUGCUUAAAACGUUUGGUGACUUUCAUCUGAAAUAAGGAUUAGAAGGAUUUGAUUUUUAUUACUCCUGCUGAAUUACUCAUGCAUUUAAAUUCAGGAUUGUUUGAGUGCCACAUCUCUCUCUUAGAAUGUCUCUGACCUGAACACAGUGUACUGUGCUUUAUAAAAGCUCCCUCAUUGUGCUGUCUGGCUCUUACAAACCUCUUCUAAGCUCAGCAGUGUGCACUUUGCUGUCUGCCACAUAUACAUAUAAGCCUGAAAUAACUGAUAUGCUGGCUUGUUACUGAUGAUUUUUGUAAAAUAAGUGCAUUACUUAGUGGCAGUCUUUAAGUCAGCCUACGACAGUAAUACAAAUGCAAUUAUUGUUUCUUUUAGGACUUUAAAUAUAAAUGGGAUAAAGCCAUACAGCUGAGUAGACACUCUGGUUCAUAGGUUGCCUUAAAUUUCAUUCCACUACCAAAAUUCUUUCAGAAGUCUAAUGACUUUGGCUUAAAAUAAAUAUUUCAAAACAUUUUUUGACCCUCUGUUUUGCUUCUCCCGUCCUCUUUGCUGCUGCUCAGAUCUUCCAUAGAUUUCUAUCCAGGAUUAUCUGAGUGCCAUGACUCUAUUUUAUAGUGUCUCUGACCUGAACAUAGUGUGCUCGUCUUUACAAAAGCUCCCUCAUUAUGCUGUCUGGGACCCUCUUCCAGCCUCAACAGCAUGCUUUUGGCCUUCUUUUUUUGUAGUAAAAACGAUCAGUAAUGUAACAUGUCAGCAAUGUCAGGCUUAUCAUAUUACACAACAAAUUUUAGCUUGCACUGCCUUUGGGCUGGGCUCUAUCCCUGAAAAGAGGAAGCACGACAAACCACUGUACUUUUCAGGGCAUGACAUGUAAGUUGUUUCAAACUUUAAGUAAAUUGUCCAGUAGUUAAGUUAACAGUUCCACAGUGUCAUAUGGCAUCUUUGAAUGUCUAAAAGAAAUUCUAAAUACAUAAAUUUACUGAUUCAUUUGGGAAGAAAAGCAGCAAAUUACUCACAGUGAGGGAAAUUUCAGCAUCUCUGGAUGAAAAAUGACAAAUACCAGAAAAUUUAAAUGGUAUCUGAAUAAUACUUUUUCACAUCUUCUUUUAACAGUUUAUUUCAUAUAUGAGGAAUCCAUUUUUAUAUCAUUUGGUUAACUUAUUUAGAAUUAAACCAAAGCCCAGUCAUUCAUUCGACUCUAGAAUAUUUAAUAUACAGAAGUGGUCAGCGUCGACUCGAUGUCAGAAAGGGGCGUAAAUCAUCACCUCUCCACCGCUGCGGCUGACACUUGGUAUGAGAUGUUUGGGGUAAUGUGCUCUGUGAAUUAUAGCGUAACAUUUCCCCCUAGGCCUGAUAGUGAUUUGUUCAGAUGCAUCAUUGGAAAUCUAAGCCAUGGUGUCUCGAGUUAUUAUAGUUUUGUAUUUUCUAAUUGUUUUUUAGUUUUAUUUUCACUUUGUUUUUUAUUCAGUUUAAGUUCUCAGGGUAGUUUUCCUGUUUCAAGUUAGUUUUUAUUGUCACAAAAUGUUUAGUUUUAUCAGUGUAAGUUUGUCUUUUUAAUUAUAUUAUGGAGGGCAAAUGUCAGAGGUAAGAUUUGGGAGCAUCAGUACAGGUAUUAAAGUAAGAACACAGAACCUUUCGAAAGCUGAUGACUCACAGUCUUGGAGACAUGUAGAAACUCAAACACAUGCCUCAGCAGGCUUGUUGUAAUACAGUUUUUUUUUUUUUUUACCAGAGUAACAGAUCCUAAAACUACAGAUAUGUCCUAUAAAAUGCUUUUUCACAUCUAGUUAUUUUUAGUGAACUACAUUAACCUUGCCCUGGGGAACCCUUCCAAACAAGAACCACACUUGUUCAGCUUUUUCUGAUCGGACAAUCAUGAACUGUAACAUUUAACAUGCUGAGCUAGUCUGGAGCUAGAUUUUGAGUUUCUCAGAGCAUUGCAGAGUCAGUCCUUGGGCAGGACCUCAUUGGGACGUUCACUCCUGGGAAGAUUGGCAACUGUCUUGACCGUAUUCCCACUUGUGAAUAAUCUCUUGCUGUAAAAUGACAGACUUUUUUGGGGGGGACAUAUCCUUUAUGUAUUUUCCCUGCUAGCUCAGAUCACAUAAACAUCUUCUGUGUUUGCCUGGUUUCAGUCAUGAGAGUUGGACCAUGAAGCGUAUCUGAAAUCGAGCUACUUUUAUGCAUUUUGUUUGCUAAUAUGUGAUGUCGUUUACAAAUCUGCUUCAGUAGCUCAGAUGAAUUUCAGCAGCAAUUUUGCACAUUUUCAAAACUUUCUGCAUCUUAAAGACAUCACCGUUGUUGUUUUGCAUCAUUUUUAGGAAUCGCGUUCACAUUAUUUGUUAUUGAGGAUGACAACAAACAAGAACAGCCAACGAUGGCUUAAGAUUAGUUACCAAACACCUUCCUCUGCUUACUUUACAUUAAUUGUUAAAGAAAAAGCAAGUCCUCUCCUUCUGUUCAUAUACAGUAGAGAUAACAUGUCCAAUGCAUCUCCUGAAAUCUACACAUAUGCUUAAGCAGGCGCUGCAGUCAAGCUGCACAAACAAGGAGACACAUUUUUGACAACUUAAACCAAAACAAAAAUAUAUAUACACAAAACACACGGACAAAACAUCUGUCACACAUAUUUAUUGUAAAAAAUACAUAUAAAAACAAUUUGAGACAUACAAAAGAUCGGAGCUUAGAAACAGUAUAUUGAACAGACAAGGACCAAGCAAUUUUCUUGAAUUGCAUUACAUAUUUACAAUUUAAUAAAUAAAACUCAAUUUGUUUGUUUUAUACCAGAGUAAAGGCAGAUUGUCCAUAUCUUGGGGAUGCAGAUGCCGCUGUGGUGACAGUUUAAACACAUCGGUCUGUAAUCACAGGGCAGGCAGGGAAACGGCGCCCUGUGAUUCGAAACCAAAGACUUGAGAAUAUUUAUACAAAAUACAUCCUUGGUUGGAGAGGGGCUAGUUUGCACACCGAGCAUUUAGCUAGCAUUGGUAAAAAUUUGAGGUAUUGCACCGCACAGCUUAGAGGGGGUUAAGAAAGUAAAUCAAGAGUAAUGUGGCGGUUUUGGAUUGUCUGUAAUCUUUAUCGACAACCCAACUGCCACCAACACCCCUCUGAACACACACACACUCACACAAACACCCCCCCUUAAAACCCUCCCAGCCAAAGUAUACAAUAUCAUAACUUAUCACCACGACAAAUGUAAUCUGAACAUCUAAAUGAUCGAUGCGCCUCCUCUUCUGCCCUGUUCCCCGCAACAACACAGACCUAAAUGCACAAACAAACUAUAUUUGGCUUUAUUUUUCUUUUCUCCAAUACAAAAUAAGAGAAACAUGCACAGGGCUGCCCUCUAAUGACGGGACAGGUUAUAGCACCGCAGACUGCAGAACAUUGGGGUGGGGGAGACAGAAAAGACCAACAGAGGCUGGGGUGAACAAACCUGUGUGCAUGGCUCACCUCUUGGCCAACCUCUAAACCGCCCCACACCACUGCAGCACUGAGAGUUAAGCACCUUUAGAGCAGGCAGCAAAAGCAAUCAGUUACAAUAUAUGUUUUGUUCUUUCUGCUAGAGUUUCCACUGGCCUACGUACAACCUGUAUCAGGCAGCAUCUGUUGAGCAGCCUUACUGUUUGGGCUUCCACUUCAGCUCAGCCCCCCAAAACGACACCACAAAUACCUCCUUGCACAAGAACCCCUUCACCAGGCAAAAGGCAAUCAUAACACACACAAAAAGAAAGGCCAAGGAUAGCCAUUUAACACAUUUAGCAAUAAACAUGAGCUCUGUGAUAAUAGCCUAAAAAAAAAAA